rnacentral:lncRNA from 1 species
UAAUUAACUUAUUAUGUCAUGAUGAUUACCAAUGGAUUUGGACUGACUUAAUUAAUUCUUCUAAUAAUAAAGUAGUAUAUGAUUAAUUAUAAUAAUUUAUUACACAAACUAACAACAUAAUAUUAAGCCGCCUUAUCGUUGAAGAUUCUGAAGCUAAGGGACUCGCUGCUACGUACUGCAAGAAAAAGGGUUUCCAUAUAUAGCCGAAAACCAGAGCUAGAGGAUUAGAUCUAACUAUAUUAGUAACUAAAAUAACUAUCUAGACCAUCUUGCAGAAUUCAUUAGAGCUAAUUUAAUACUUUAGGGUUUUCCAAGAACUAGGGUUUUGGAAAAACGUUGAUUGAUCAAGCAGCCGGAGCAUAGUCGUAAUCUCCAUCGCCAUCAUCAUCAUCCCCAUCUGCUUCCAGAGACGCUGCCGGGGCAUAGUCAUAGCCGCCAUCAUCAUCAUCAUCAUCACCAUCGCUAUCACCGUCUUCUUGGGGUAUCAGUGCCAUGAAAAAAUUAACAUAUUCAAAAAGAUUAUUUUCAAAAUCUUGCAAAUUCUGACCAGCAGGAACGCUGCCAGACAUACUGUUUUUUCUAGCUAAAAUUGCCAUUGAAACUUGAAUUCUGUCUGUUGUUUUCUUUUUCCCUGAAAGUAAGUCUUUAACUAAGUGGAAACCUAAGCUUUAAGUGAUAGUUAGAGGAUGCUAAGAGAAAGGUUAUAUAAAGAGAAAAAAGGUGAAGUGAGCGCUGGACAUGAAAUUGCCCGUGGGAAGAUGUGGCAACUCGCGGAGGACACGUGAAAUAGAAUGCCAACUCGAUGCCUGCAUGGCAUCUACGUGUGCAAAUCAAG